AUUGAACGCUGGCGGCAUGCUUUACACAUGCAAGUCGAACGGUAACAGGGUGCUUGCACCGCUGACGAGUGGCGAACGGGUGAGUAAUGCGUCGGAACGUGCCGAGUAGUGGGGGAUAACGCAGCGAAAGUUGUGCUAGUACCGCAUACGUACUGAGGUAGAAAGCGGGGGACCUUCGGGCCUCACGCUAUACGAGCGGCGGAUGUUUGAUUAGAUAGUAGGUGAGGUAAAGGCACACGUAGGCGAAGAUCAGUAGCGGGUCUGAGAGGAUGAUCCGCCACACUGGGACUGAGACACGGCCCAGACUCCUACGGGGGGCAGCAGUGGGGAAUUUUGGACAAUGGGCGAAAGCCUGAUCCAGCCAUGCCGCGUGUCUGAAGAAGGCCUUCGGGUUGUAAAGGACUUUUGUCAGGGAGGAAAUCCCUAGUGCUAAUAACGCUGGGGGCUGAGAGUACCGGAAGAAUAAGCACCGGCUAACUACGUGCCAGCCGCCGCCGUAA
rnacentral:rRNA from 1 species